GACGAACGCUGGCGGCGUGCUUAACACAUGCAAGUCGAACGGAAAGGCCCUGCUUGCAGGGUACUCGAGUGGCGAACGGGUGAGUAACACGUGGGUGAUCUGCCCUGCACUUCGGGAUAAGCCUGGGAAACUGGGUCUAAUACCGGAUAGGAGCCAUUUUUAGUGUGAUGGUUGGAAAGUUUUUUCGGUGUAGGAUGAGCUCGCGGCCUAUCAGCUUGUUGGUGGGGUAAUGGCCUACCAAGGCGGCGACGGGUAGCCGGCCUGAGAGGGUGGACGGCCACAUUGGGACUGAGAUACGGCCCAGACUCCUACGGGAGGCAGCAGUGGGGAAUAUUGCACAAUGGGCGCAAGCCUGAUGCAGCGACGCCGCGUGGGGAAUGACGGCCUUCGGGUUGUAAACUCCUUUCGCUAGGGACGAAGCUUUUUGUGACGGUACCUAGAUAAGAAGCACCGGCUAACUACGUG
rnacentral:rRNA from 1 species